rnacentral:rRNA from 1 species
UACAGAGGGGGCAAGCGUUAUUCGGAAUUAUUGGGCGUAAAGGGCGCGUAGGCGGCCUGGCAAGUGGAUGGUGAAAUCCCUCGGCUUAACCGAGGAACUGCCAUCCAGACUGCUUGGCUUGAGACCGGGAGAGGUGAGUGGAAUUCCCAGUGUAGCGGUGAAAUGCGUAGAUAUUGGGAGGAACACCAGUGGCGAAGGCGGCUCACUGGACCGGUACUGACGCUGAGGAGCGAAAGCGUGGGGAGCGAACAGG